rnacentral:antisense_RNA from 1 species
CUUCAUCGAUCCGAGCCACAGGGGCUCGUCCCGGGGGCGUUCCCGGCCGUAGGUGUCCAGGAGCACCUGGAUCUC